rnacentral:rRNA from 1 species
GUCCUGGCUAUAAACGUUGUGCGCUCGUCGUCGUGGUGGUUAGUCGCCCCGGUGACUCAGCUAACGCGAUAAGCGCACCGCCUGGGAAGUACGGUCGCAAGACUAAAACUCAAAGGAAUUGACGGGGGCCCGCACAAGCGGUGGAGCAUGUGGCUUAAUUCGAGGCAACGCGAAGAACCUUACCUGGGUUUGACAUGGAGACUGAUACUGAUGAAAGUUGGUAGCCCGCAAGGGGGUCUUCACAGGUGCUGCAUGGCUGUCGU